rnacentral:rRNA from 1 species
AUACAGAGGGUGCGAGCGUUAAUCGGAAUUACUGGGCGUAAAGCGUGCGUAGGUGGUCUGUUAAGUCAGGUGUGAAAGCCCUGGGCUCAACCUAGGAACUGCAUUUGAUACUGGCAGACUAGAGUGUGGUAGAGGGUAGUGGAAUUCCCGGUGUAGCGGUGAAAUGCGUAGAUAUCGGGAGGAACAUCAGUGGCGAAGGCGGCUACCUGGACCAACACUGACACUGAGGUACGAAAGCGUGGGGAGCAAACAGGAUUAGAAACCCUGGUAGUCC